rnacentral:snoRNA from 1 species
UGCGCACAAAGUAUCUCCAGAAAGCAGAAAUGUCUGCGAUUUGGUCGCAAUUGAAGAGUGCAAAAUUAAAAAAUCAAAUGCUGCUUACUAGCAUCGUUAGGCGACACGACUUAUCCUUACUGUGGCCAUGGUUUUCAAAGUAGUACAAA